AUUGAACGCUGGCGGCAGGCCUAACACAUGCAAGUCGAGCGGAUGAAGAGAGCUUGCUCUCUGAUUCAGCGGCGGACGGGUGAGUAAUGCCUAGGAAUCUGCCUGGUAGUGGGGGACAACGUUUCGAAAGAAACGCUAAUACCGCAUACGUCCUACGGGAGAAAGCAGGGGACCUUCGGGACUUGCGCGAUCAGAUGAGCCUAGGUCGAAUUAGGUAGUAGGUGAGGUAAAGGCUCACCUAGGCGACGAUCCGUAACUGGUCUGAGAGGAUGAUCAGUCACACUGGAACUGAGACACGGUCCAGACUCCUACGGGAGGCAGCAGUGGGGAAUAUUGGACAAUGGGCGAAAGCCUGAUCCAGCCAUGCCGCGUGUGUGGAGAAGGUCUUCGGAUUGUAAAGCACUUUAAGUUGGGAGGAAGGGCAGUAAGUUAAUACCUUGCUGUUUUGACGUUACCAACAGAAUAAGCACCGGCUAACUUCGUGCCAGCCGCCGCCGUAAUAC
rnacentral:rRNA from 1 species